UUCAAGCAAACCCUAAACCUACUCCACCUCCACACACACCGCCGAUUACAUGGAGAGAGAACGAUGAGAGAGAUCAGAAAGGAGAGAGAGAACGGUGUGUGUCGGAACGGCGGCGUUGCCUAUCACUGGUGGUGUGGUGGUGACUAGAGAAAUUAUCAGUGUGUGGUGGUGCCGGAUUCACGGUGCGGUUCCGGUGGUGACGGAAUCAGGGUGCGGUUCCGGUGGUGAUUAGCGGCGUAGAGAAGAUGCUAGGGUUCCGGUGAAGGUCGGGCAAAAUUACGGUACCACGGGUGUCGGGAUCAACAUGAACAGACGACACCACGGGUGUCGGGAUCUCUGCCGGUGAGAGAUCUGAAAGUUUUAGGGUUCCGACGAGUCAGCUUAGCUCCGGUGAGAACCUGCUUUCCUGAACCAGGGAAGAUUGUUUUCGUUGUGUCAUUCAAUGGAUACUUCUUGCCAAGUUUUUAGGUAACUUUAACUUCCUUAUUUUCUUCUUGCUUUUAUUGAUUUGAAGAUUCCAUGCUUCUGAUCCUUAUUUUCUUCUUAGGUGUAUUGUUAGGCUAUAGGGUGUGGUCAUGACCCUUAUGACCAUCAUGACCCUCCAUGUUAGUGCCAUGUAACCCACCUCUAUUCCACCAUCCAAAACCACUAUCCUAAGGGUGUGGUCAUGACCCAAACCACUAGCCCCUUAUUUAUUUUAAUUUAUCUUUGUUUAAAGAGAAAAAAGGAAAUGAUUUGUUGAAAAAUGGAAAAGAGGGUCAUGGUUGCCAUGGUUUAAUCCAUGCAAACCAUGGUGGAUCAAUCAAGGGGGUGGUGUAGUCUUCUAUUUAUGUUCCUAGGUGGCAAAUCAUGUACCAACCAUGACCCCCACACCCUAUAGCCUUACAAUGGCACCUUGAUUUCCACAUAAAGUAAAAGAAUAAAGUAUCUAUAAUUUUUUUUCUAUAAUUCUUUUAAACGAUUUCAUGUGAAAUCUACAAAGAGUCUUGAAAAGUAACUGUGCUUCAAUCAAAAAUAUAUUAUAUUAGAAGGUUAUAUGUAUAUGCAAACCUAAGUAGUUGAUGAUAUUCGAGUAAAGCAUUAUUGUAUAAUGUGUUUAUAGUAAGAAAAGUCUUUGGUAGUUGAUCAUGAACUUUAGAAGAGUGUUGUUCUUUCAAUGUAACGAAAAAGUAUAUGGAUAUUGCAUAAGAUAGAAAAGAGCUUUUACUAGAGUUACAUGUCCUGAAAAGACAUUAAGGUAUGAUUUACACUUAUGAGGGGGUGAUUGUUGAUAAUCAUAUUGUUACCGAGCCGAUUACUUUACUAAAAUCGACAGAAGAGGAGGGAUGGUCAUCCGGCGGUAUGAUGGUGAGUUUGCGGGUUCCGGCGAGGCAGUGAUUGACCAAGAUAAUUUGAAAACUUUCUGUGGUCAUAAAGUAUAGAUGUGGAACUCCAGGAACUGCCAAGAAGAAAGGAAUAACAUGAUCAGGAACAUACAUUCAAGAACUGAAGUGUUCGUAGUAAUUAAGAUCGUCGUAGAGUAUUAUUGGCGACAUAUCAUGUGAUUACACCAAGAAUGAUUUGGUUUAGCAUGAUCGUGUUAUGAGUUGUGAUGUCAAACGUACACACCAAGAAUGAUUAAGUUUAGCAUCAUUGUGU
rnacentral:lncRNA from 1 species